GUGCCAGCAGCUGCGGUAAUACGUAGGUGGCGAGCGUUGUCCGGAAUCACUGGGCGUAAAGCGCGCGCAGGCGGCGAUCUACGUCUGGGGUGAAAGCCCGGAGCUCAACUCCGGGACUGCCUUGGAUACGGGAUCGCUUGAGGAUUGGAGAGGCAAGGGAUUCCACGUGUAGCGGUGAAAUGCGUAGAGAUGUGGAGGAACACC
rnacentral:rRNA from 1 species